AGUGAACGCUGGCGGUAGGCCUAACACAUGCAAGUCGAACGGCAGCACAGUAAGAGCUUGCUCUUACGGGUGGCGAGUGGCGGACGGGUGAGGAAUACAUCGGAAUCUACUUUUUCGUGGGGGAUAACGUAGGGAAACUUACGCUAAUACCGCAUACGACCUACGGGUGAAAGCAGGGGAUCUUCGGACCUUGCGCGAUUGAAUGAGCCGAUGUCGGAUUAGCUAGUUGGCGGGGUAAAGGCCCAGCAAGGCGACGAUCCGUAGCUGGUCUGAGAGGAUGGCUCGGCCCACCUGAACCUGGGACACGGUCAAGCCUCCAACGGAGGGCAGCGGUGGGAAUUUUUGACCAAUGGGCGAAAGCCUAACCCAGCCAUCCGGCGUGGGUAAAGAAGGCCUUCGGGUUGUAAAGCCCUUUGUUGGGAAAGAAAAGCAGCAGGUUAAUACCCCGCUGUUCUGACGGUACCCAAAGAAUAAGCACCGGCUAACUUCGUG
rnacentral:rRNA from 1 species